UAUGUCAGUGCUUUAUUAAAAUAAAACAAAAAUAAAAGACAAACAUUAUAAAAAUAAUAUUAAAAAUUCGCUUGACAAAACAUUUUCGGGAAAUCUUUUGAAGUAUUUGGAUGGAAAAAAUACGUACAAAAAGAAUGUCCGUAAAAAUCAAAAUCGAAGAUGUGACUGUUUUAAAAAGGGUACCUACCUACUUUUGUACCGUGAACUCAAAUGUAUGCAGUUUUUGAAAAACAACAUUUAUUGAAAACUUUGGAUUUGUUUGCGGAUUUCAUCAGUAUCAGUGGAGUUUUGGAUUAUCAUGACUAGAACAUACUUUGAUGCACAUUCAUUGAUCAUCAUCAAAAUUGAUCAUCAUUUCUUCAGGUUCUUACAUUCUAUAUACCUAUAAGGUGUCCCUCAUUCACCGCCCCAAACGAAAACCAAACCGAAACUUAAGAGGUAAGUUUUCUUAAAACAGGACAGACAUAAUUAAAAUCUAUACAUUUGUCAUUUAUAAAGUAAUUGAAUGCAGAAAUAAAGGAAAAGUAUUAUGUGCCUACUCAUACUCAGGUUCUAGGAUUCUUGUAUGGUUUAUACUAAAAAUUGAUAUUUCUAUUGAAAUAAAAUCUAUCCGAUAAAUCAGCUCAUCUUUUUUAUAUCAAAAUUGAAUUUAUUGAUAACGCUACUGGCGGGUAGUUCCAGAAUAGAGUCAUAACUCAUAAUUCUUUCGAUGACAUAUACAUAAUAUAAAAAAAAA